AAUCGACCUAGUCAAACAUGCGUUCGACGCCCGCACCAAAGCACACGCCUUUGAUAAGCAAGUUGAAGAACUUGCAAGUGAGCGGUCACAUUUAUUCUCCACUUUUAGGCAGUGGUCCGACUUGGGUCGCUAGCUAAUGCCAAGAACGAGCUCCAAAAAGGUGAAACAAAAAGGCUUUGGACGCGGCUUGGUAUGGGAGGUGGAGAGGGCUGAGUGGCACCAAAAUAAGACCUGCUGCCAAAGUUGCACAACACCACCCCACGGCCAAGGCGUAUUCUUGGGCGAGCUAAUCGAAGGUUAAACGCAAACAAGGCGGUCACCGGUGUUAGCGGCGUUUCAGCACGUUUAUUUCCGAAUGUUGAUUUGAAUUCAUGCAAGACUCAUUUGACGACUUUUUCGUGACUUUGGAAACGUGACGUGAGCGGCAGGUUUCUAAGGAGAACUUCAGCCACUGACCAACUGUGCACCUGCUAACCUGAAGGGAUCAGAGUGAAGAAAUCCAUUAAAUAUAGGCUAAGCUAUGCAUCUACAUUUUUGGUUUUACUGUAAAGAAAAAAAAAACAUUUUGCCUGUUUUCCAGAAUUCAUGAAGUUGGUAAAAUAAUUAUGUUAAUUUUACUAGCAUUAAUAUCAUGGCGCAAUGAGUGAUGAAAAUAAGUUUUUAAAUCUGUGGUUUUCUUUUUACAUAAAUGUUUAGAAUUUUCACCUUUAGACUGGACAGGUAUAAUCCUCUCGCAAUAAUGCUUGUGCCCAAAUGAAUAUCACCAAUGGUCGCUUAGGAUUAGAUUCCGUAUGUAACAUUAAGAAACACACACACACACACACACACACACACACACACACACACACACACACACACACAUACACCAUAUCUAACAUUAAGAAAUAGUUUCUCUGUAUUUCUCAUGGGCAUGUUUGAUGAAUAGAUUUGCCACUGCCAAAUUCCAACAUCUUGCCAAUAAUGCAUGCUCCACCGUAAAUCAUUAUGGAAUUUCAAAUGGUUCAAAUACAGCAGAUCAGGCCCAUAUGUGUGUGUGUGUGUGUGUGUGUGUGUGUGAGAGAGAGAGCUAUACAGUGUAGCGGGAAGAGAGCCCUGCAUAACACGCUUCUCUGUAGAUUAACCCUUGUUUUUAACCCUUGUUUUCCAGACCACUGCCCACAACACGGGCUGAUCCGCCGGACACCAUAGGAUAAGCAAGGUGUCCGCUGUUUCCCUUGACCGGAAUGGCGAACAAAAUGUUUGGGAACCAGGACACAUGCACACACACACACACACACACACACACACACACACACACACACACACACACACACACACACACACACACACACACACACACACACACACACACACACACACACACACACAUUCACUCUCUAU